rnacentral:rRNA from 1 species
UACGUAGGUGGCAAGCGUUAUCCGGAUUUAUUGGGUGUAAAGGGUGAGUAGGCGGGCUUGUAAGUCAGAUGUGAAAUGCAGAUGCUCAACAACUGAAUUGCAUUUGAAACUGCGAGUCUUGAGAGUCGGAGAGGUAAUUGGAAUUCCCAGUGUAGCGGUGAAAUGCGUAGAGAUUGGGAGGAACACCAGUGGCGAAGGCGGAUUACUGGACGACAACUGACGCUGAUACACGAAAGCGUGGGGAG